AAAAGCCAAAGAAUAUUCUGGGUGGGGAAUUUAAUCUGAACAGAUCUAGACAUAGCGUUAAAAGUUGUUCUGCAGAAAGUUUUUAAACAUUAACUGAAAAGUACAUCCAAAAUCCAUAGAUCGAUCUCGAAAUCAAAUUUCAUAGAUCCAUCUAUGUCUUCCGCUACCAGUUCCUUUUCUGAUGAAUAUAUUCCAGACAGUGGAAUCAAACACGACGUAUUCUUAAGUUUCAGAGGCGAAGAUACACGUACAUCUUUCACUUCACAGCCUUAUGCUUCUCUUUGAAACGCCGGAUUCACCUUCUUCAAGGACGAUCACUCGCUUCAAAGAGGAGAUUACAUCUCAACAUCACUACUUCAAGGGAUCUAUGGUUCUAGAGUUUCUGUUAUCGUCUUCUCUAAGAACUAUGCAGGUCCACAGUGGUGUCAAAUCUCAGGAACGAAAGUGAGGAUAUCAAGGAUAUUGUUGAAAAAGUUACACAUUUGCUUGACAAGACAGACCUGUUCAUUGCUGACCAUCCAGUUAGAGUCGAAUCUCGAGUGCUAGAUAUGAUUCAACUACUGGACACUCCAUUUUCAAAUGAUGUUCUACUACUAGGGAUGUGGGGUAUGGAAGGUAUUGGUAAAACAACUAUUGCAAAAUCCGUUUACAAUAAAGUUGGUUGCAAAUGGUUUGGUUCAGGGAGUAGAAUAAUCAUCACAACCAGAGAUAAGCAAAUAAUUAGAGGGGAUAGAGUUAACCAAGUAUACAUAAUGGAGGAAAUAGAUGAAAGUGAAUCUCUUGAGCUUUUUAGUUGGCAUGCAUUCAAGAAAGUGAGUCCAAGAGAAAAUUUGCUCAAAUUUCCAUAAAUGUUGUCUAGUAUUGUGGGGGACUCCCGCUGGCUCUGGAAGUCCUUGGGUCCUACUUGUUUGAUAGACAGGUAACAAAAUGGGAGUGUCUAUUGGAGAAACUCAAGAGAAUUCCCAAUGAUCAAGUGCAAAAGAAGUUGAAAAUAAGCUAUGAUGGUUUAAAUGAUGACACCGAGAGAGAUAUAUUCCUUGACAUUGCUUUUUUCUUUAUUGGGAUGGACCGAAACGAUGUUAUGGAUAUAUUAAAUGGUUGUGGUCUUUUUGCUGAAAUCGGAAUAAGUGUCCUUGUUGAGCGAAGCCUUGUAACUAUUGAUGAUAAAAACAAGCUUGGAAUGCAUGAUUUGCUACGAGAUAUGGGAAGAGAGAUCAUCCGACAGAAAUCACCAAAGAAACUCGAGAAGCGUAGUAGGUUAUGGUUUCAUGAGGAUGUUCAUGAUGUAUUUGUCAUAACAAAAUGGUGCACAAGCUGUUGAGGACUAGUUUUGAAGUUGGCAGCUAAUGCAAAAUGUUUUAGUACCAAUGCAUUUGAGAACAUGAAGAAACUGAGAUUGCUUCAACCUUCUGGUGUACAACUUGAUGGAGAUUUUAAAUAUCUUUCAAGAAAUUUGAGAUGGCUGUGUUGGAAUGAAUUUCCUUUAACAUUGAUGCCCACAAACUUUUACCAAAGAAAUUUAGUUUCCAUUCAGCUAGAAAACAACAAUAUCAAUUUUUUUUUUUCUGGAAAUAGAUGCAGAGGCUGGAGAAUCUAAAAUUUCUCAAUCUUAGUCAUUCUCAUUGUCUAGUACAGACCCCAGAUUUUUCACACAUGCCUAAUCUAGAAAAACUAAUACUCAAAGAUUGUCCAAGGCUGUCUGAGGUUUCCCAUACCAUUGGUCAUCUCCAUAAAGUUCUCAUUAUAAAUUUGAAAGACUGUACUAGCCUUCGUAACCUUCCAAGAACCAUCUAUUCGUUGAAAUCUCUGAAAACUCUUAUUCUUUCUGGCUGUUUAAUUAUUGACAAAUUGGAAGGACUUGGAACAAAUGGAGUCUUUAACCACUCUGAUUGUGGAUAACACUGCAAUAACAAAAGUGCCCUUUUCAGUCGCAAGGUCAAAAAGCAUUGAAUAUAUUUCUCUUUGUGGAGUAAAGCAUUGAAUAAGGGAUACUCACGUGAAGUAUUUCCUUCUAUCAUUCAGACUUGGAUGUCACCAACAAAUAACCUUUCAUCCUUUGUUCAAACACCUCCUGGCAUGUUAUCUCUCAUGUUAGACUAGAACCAUUAAAGAAAUACAUGUAAGUUAACGUGAUUAUUCGCUAUCGGUAUAAAACAUUUAAAACUAAAAUGAUAAAAUCCUAAACAUAUUAUUUUGAAAUUUCAUCCUCAACAUAUAAAUAUUUCUUACAUGUUCCUCAUAAUUUUGCUUUUAGUCAUGUCUAGGAGUAUAGGUCUAAUAAACCUUAGUAUUUUUAUUGGGCCUCUUGCUGUAAGCCCUUUAUGAGCACCUCACCAUUCAGUUACUGACAGCUAAGCCAAUUGAACACCCUAGCAUUUAGUUCAUCAAUAUGUCCCUUAAGAACAAGAAAUCCUUGAAUCUGAAUUUUUAUUAAGUUAGCACCUAGCGUCGUCACAUCAUUUCUAUCAAUUUUGUUUUAUGAAAAACUGUCACAGUCUUCUAAGUGCACAUUUUGGUGAGAUGGCCUAAAAAAUGUGUUGGUGAUAAAUCACACGAAGACUACCAUUCAGCUCUAUAAGAGAGAGGCAUUCGCCUCCUUUGAAAAUGAGGAGUGGCAGAGAGUAGUAUCAAAUAUGGAACCUGGUGACAAAGUCGAGAUUGUUGUUUUUGGGAACAGUUUCAUUGUGAUGAAGACAGCAGUUUAUCUCAUAUAUGAUGAACCAAUUGGUGAAAAUUUGGGGCAAUGUCAUGCACAAGAUGGUAGUGGUGAUGAAAAUGAAUGUGCUGCCAAGAGGUUCACUCUUCAAGUAGAGCCCGCAGGUCAUUUUAAACAAAAACAGAGAAGAAGAAAGCUUGACUGAAAAUGAAAGACGUAAAAUAAUUGCCAGGUUUUAUUGGUGUUGGCUACUAAUGCUCUUAUCGCUGAAGCAUGUGGUACCUAGGAAAGUCAAGUUGGCUUGGAUUUUGGUUUCACAGAAGUCCAACAUGAGCUUGAUUGGGAAGCCCUGAUCCUAAUGCUCUACGGGGAAUAAGAUAAGGAAACCAGGAUACUUGAUGAUUGAUCAACUAAAUUAAUUGUAUACUUAAACAGAAUUUGCAAAUGGAAAUCAGCCAUGUUUUAAGUGAAAGCAUUCAAAAUGCAGACAAUUUUGGACAAAAUGCUUCAAGAAGAAUUCAGUUUAAGUAUUCGGUUCCAGAACUGUUUAAGAGGGGCCUUGAUGUCGAGGAUACAAACAUCCUGCCAACUGCACACAUUGUUUCGUUCAACUUCUUCCCUACGAAAGCUGGUCUGGAUUCGCCGACCGCAGGUUUUGACUGUUUAGAUCUUCAAAGCAAUAAUCUCUGAGAGACACACCUAUUGGACAUGUGCUAGAACACAUUCAUAGAAAUGAGACAAAGACUAGCAACACCCAUUCCAUCCCUCAAUUUUUGUUGGAUUAAUUGAAAUUCAUGUAGGUUUCAGCACUUUUGGUGGGACCCAUUCUCAAAUUGAUGCAACCUACAUGAAUUUUAUCCAAAAGAAAUUUCAUACAAGAAAUGUUUGGUUUAAGUGAAAUUGGUUUUUUGUUAUUCAAGAUCAUUGUGUAGCGGUUUGCCUGCCUCCUAUAAAUAAGCUUGUAUCUCUUUCAGUUUUGUAUCUUUGAACCGUAAUGAUCUCUCUGAGUAUUUCUCAUCAAACUUUGUGAAAGAUUUAUAGACAGCUUAUGGUUCUUAAGAUUUAUAGAAAUAUCUUUCUCCAA